UGGCGACCGGCGCACGGUGAGUAACACGUAUCCAACCUGCCGAUGACUCGGGGAUAGCCUUUCGAAAGAAAGAUUAAUACCCGAUGGCAUAGUUCUUCCGCAUGGUGGAACUAUUAAAGAAUUUCGGUCAUCGAUGGGGAUGCGUUCCAUUAGGUUGUUGGCGGGGUAACGGCCCACCAAGCCUUCGAUGGAUAGGGGUUCUGAGAGGAAGGUCCCCCACAUUGGAACUGAGACACGGUCCAAACUCCUACGGGAGGCAGCAUG
rnacentral:rRNA from 1 species